rnacentral:rRNA from 1 species
CCUACGGGCGGCAGCAGUGAGGAAUAUUGGUCAAUGGACGAGAGUCUGAACCAGCCAAGUAGCGUGAAGGAUGACUGCCCUAUGGGUUGUAAACUUCUUUUAUAUGGGAAUAAAAUGUUCCACGUGUGGGAUUUUGUAUGUACCAUAUGAAUAAGGAUCGGCUAACUCCGUGCCAGCAGCCGCGGUAAUACGGAGGAUCCGAGCGUUAUCCGGAUUUAUUGGGUUUAACGGGAGCGUAGGUGGAUUGUUAAGUCAGUUGUGAAAGUUUGCGGCUCAACCGUAAAAUUGCAGUUGAAACUGGCAGUCUGGAGUACAGUAGAGGUAGGCGGAAUUCGUGGUGUAGCGGUGAAAUGCUUAGAUAUCACGAAGAACUCCGAUUGCGAAGGCAGCUCACUGGACUGCAACUGACACUGAGGCUCGAAAGUGUGGGUAUCAAACAGGAUUAGAUACCCUAGUAGUC